AAGUCGUAACAAGGUUUCCGUAGGUGAACCUGCGGAAGGAUCAUUAACAAAAUCAAACAUACAUGGACCCUGUUGAACCCACGUCCCUUGCUUGGCUGGCGAGCAGCAGCCGCCGGCCAACAGGCACUGAAAGACACACUGUGUGAUGAUAGAGAGAGCGAUACGCCAAAUAAUGAGAAACAACUUUUAACAAUGGAUCUCUUGGCUCUU
rnacentral:misc_RNA from 1 species